UACAUGUGGGGCAAGCGUUAAUCGGAAUUACUGGGCGUAAAGCGUGCGCAGGCGGUUCGCUAAGACAGAUGUGAAAUCCCCGGGCUUAACCUGGGAACUGCAUUUGUGACUGGCGGGCUAGAGUAUGGCAGAGGGGGGUAGAAUUCCACGUGUAGCAGUGAAAUGCGUAGGGAUGUGGAGGAAUACCGAUGGCGAAGGCAGCCCCCUGGGCCAAUACUGACGCUCAUGCACGAAAGCGUGGGGAGCAAACAGG
rnacentral:rRNA from 1 species